AUUUAACACAAGGCCUAGCCUACAAGUACUCUAGAUGUUACAGCUACAUAAUAGUAACAAUAAUAGUGAUGGAGGUUCACUUGGCAUUCUUAUAUUCUUAGCGUGUCACCAAAUAAAAUGCAGUAACAUGCUAUAUGUUCAAGAUGAUGCACAAGUGUAAUGCAUACUUGACCCCUCAUUCUGUGCUGACGCCACCCCUGUCUUUAGGUCAUUGCAUGUUCAUUGAAAGGAAGGCCCUGUGUCAGGUACACGAUGGCCUGCUAUGAGACAGCAUCCUCUUUCCUCAAAGGAUACUAGGAUGUUCAUUACAUCCAGAUCCAUCCAGACUGCACUUUUAUCCUCACAGACAGGUUCCUCACCGUGAUCAUCAUGGGAUCAUAUCACUGCAUUUUGUUUGAGAAAGCUCUUUUAAGGAACCAGAAACACCAGAAGGCUUGGCUGGGUCGUUCUACAUAAUCUUCCAACCUUAGUGUCGUGUUCCUGUUCCCUUCUGUAAUGAUGGACCCUGAGCUCUAAUACUGGAGGAUGCCAAUGCUGUAAUUUAAGAGUGGAUUCCAACGGGAAGAUAAAGUUUGAACUUAGAAACGUAAAUAUCAACACUUUGGGUUACCUUGAGUUUAUCUUCCAUGGACAGUGAAAAAUAUCUGCAGUUUCAAGCUGGAGCUCUCAUAUCAGGGCUAAAUUGUUGAUUGUCUUUCCAGGAAACCGUGGGAAUGCUGACUUAAGAAAUGGUGGCCCCCAUCUGCUGGCACUCUCAGCUCUCACAGUCCAUGCUGGGCCACCACAGGCCAGUCUCUCUGCCCUCAGGCACACUGCCCUUGACUCCUGGGAAGGCUUUCAGGCUCUUUCCAUCUGGUUUCCCUGCACUGUUCUCUCUCUCCUGCCUCUAAUGAGGGCAGAGAUACAGUCACUUCGCUCUUCUUGAAGCCUCUGGAACUCCCCAUAGACCUUGGGGUAGCUGAACAGCCCUGGCACACACAGCCAUUUAGAGUCUGGACUACCUCCCCGCUGCGCUCCGGCUCAUCACUGUGGGCUUUCUAAGGGCAGCUCACUCUUUCGGCCUCAAGCUUUGAUGGGCCCAACCUGGUUCCUACUCCCAGCUCCACUGAUUACCCUGAUCAACUACUUCAAAUCCUUUCAGGCUCAGCUCAGAUGUCACCCCACCUUCCUGGAUUCUCACCUUCUAACCAGAAUUGAUCGAUCAACGUUUCCUCUUACUCCUAUAUUAGAAUUUUAACCAUACCUCAACUGUAGUAUAAUCACAACAUACCAUGGUUUCUUAUGUGUUUUGGAAAAUUAGAACAACUACUAAUUUUCCCUACUCAUCUUGUGUGUAUUCC
ensembl:lncRNA